UAACACGUGAGCAACCUGCCUUUCAGAGGGGGAUAACAGUUGGAAACGACUGCUAAUACCGCAUAACGCUGCGAUGGGGCAUCCCGAUGCAGCCAAAGGAGCAAUCCGCUGAAAGAUGGGCUCGCGGCCGAUUAGCUAGUUGGUGGGGCAACGGCCCACCAAGGCGACGAUCGGUAGCCGGACUGAGAGGUUGAUCGGCCACAUUGGGACUGAGACACGGCCCAGACUCCUACGGGAGGCAGCAG
rnacentral:rRNA from 1 species